rnacentral:lncRNA from 1 species
GUGUCUAGAACUAGUUAUCUGUAGGGAUUGCCUCAGGACCACAGAGAAGACUCAAGUGCCAGACAAUCUAAUGUCACCAAGAUAAGUGAGAACAUAUUAUUUUAAUAUGCUUUCUUCCUACCUGUCAUUUAUGCAAACUUGUUUUAGUAUCCAAUCUAAAAUCAUACUUGGUUUACCUCUCAUUUAGUAUAGAUUAUAAACCCCAGCAAAUGUGUAGAUUACAUUUAUCGCGUAAUGCUUUCUCCUGUGCUAAUCAUUUUGAAUAUUCAAUAAACUCUACUUGAGCAACUGAUGGCAUGAGUAACAUGAAACCCACAACAAAGGAAAGUUGUUUCAGCUAGCCACACAUCAUCUUAAAGGCCUAUCGUUUUUUAAAAUAGAUGGCAUUUCAUUUUGGAUUUCUGGAUUUCUUGAUUCUAUUAUGGACUAAAAUUCUAAAAGCAAUAGCAAAAAAAAAAAAAAAAAAAUCCCAGAAAAACGUGUUAUUGUCUCAACCACAACUCUUAUCAGAACAAAACUUGGUGACCUUUAGAACUUUGACAGUUUCAAUAAGUAUAUCAAAAAUACUUCUGAAGAAGUUAUAACACUAAAUCAGAGCAGUAUGAAUGUGGAAAUUCCUAUAAUCUAAAAAAAAAAAAAGAAGACUUAAAAAAAAUAACUUAAGAGUGUAUCACACACAUGCUUCAGAAUAAUGAUAAAUACAACAUUUAAAGAAGACUUCAAAAUUAGAUGCCAUUUCCAAUUCCUGAGUCAAUGGCCUGACCGCUCAGCUACUGUAUUAAAAUGUUAGACGGGGAUAACCAGCAUGUCUGGGUCAUCCAAACUUUUCUAGAUAUUUAAGUUUCCACAUUUGAAAGAAACACAGCCGCGUUAUCUAAAUAGACAAGUCUUAUAAUUUCAAAGUUCAAGUCCACACAUAACACAAAAGAGAGAAUUACAGCUACAUUAGUGGUUUGCCACAACUCCAUAACUAAGC